rnacentral:lncRNA from 1 species
UCUCUGCGGCCAUCAUGGGAUCGUGCUCUUCUCGCUCGUUGAGCUGGUCCCUUCGCCGUGGCCUGCUGGUGACGGUCUGGAGCGAUGCUGAGCCCGGGCCCAGCCUCUCAGCUCCGCCUUGUGCGCUGCACAGAUCUAGGGGAGCCUGACGGGACGUUGACAACGUGGAAUAGGAGCAGUAUCAUCCCACCAUGAGGUAAGGGUUUCUGGAGUAUCAGGUGGGGUUCAUAGACAAGAGGCUGUGUAGCUUUCGCUCCAGGGACUCCCAACAUACCCUGGCCCAUGUGGGCACAUACAUAAAUUUAAGACGUGUCUCCAUUUAGUGGCUGGAACUACUAGUUGGAGGACAGCAGAAAGCUUGACUGCUGUGAUGAGAUGACUAAGUAGGAAGUGCCGUCAGAGUCGAUAACUGACGAUAACUGCUCCUGGCUGACUGCAGUCAAGCCCACACCGGUGGCUGGGGUUUAGGUUUAACUUGGGCUGGACUUUUAACAACUGCUGUACUUCUAGGUUGGGGAUUUAAGAGUGGAAGAUUGCCAACAGCUGUGGCCUCCCAUGAGGUAAGCUUUCAGCUUGGGAUUUUAGACCGUUUUGAUUUGAGCUAGAGUGUUCAUGUAUGAGCAUCAGUUUUGCCUGUACUCAAUACUGGUUGUAGCUGAUGGGGGUGGUUAAGUAAGGCAACAGUGCACAGCUCUUACUGUAGAGCCAUUUUUUUUUUAAGAUUUAUCAUAUCUAAGUACGCUGUAGCUGUUUUCAGAUGCACCAGAAGAGGGCAUCAGAUCUCAUUACGGAUGGUUGUGAGCCACCAUGUGGUUGCUGGGAUUUGAACUCCGGACCUUCCGAAGAGCAGUCGGUGCUCUUAACCACAGAGCCAUCUCCAGCCCCCUAUAGAGCCAUUUUUGUGUGUGUUUGCUGUCUUGAUGCUAGAAAAAAAUGGCACCGGACUUAGGUGGUUGUGAGCCACAAUUAGUGCUGGCAGUCAAACCUGGUCUUCUAAGAACUUAGACCUUCUAGUCCAUUAACUUGGGUCUUAAAAUUUUCAGUUAAUGUGGUCUUACAAUUGAACCCAGUUGGGCUGGUUUGGCUAGUUGUAAAUGUAUUUUAGUAAUUUGAAAAAUACUUCCCUUUUAGGUCUAGGAUGUGUUAAGAACUGUAGCUUUCUUGAGAAGAGGCAGGCAGAGUUCAGGCCAGCCUCGUCUACAGUAGUGAGCCAGGGCUACAAAGAAAUCCAAAAGAGAAAAGCCAGGGUGGGAGGGCAGCCAUUGAUUUUGCAAGGCUGUUAUAUAUAAUGUCCUGUUUUCUGCAAUCCAUUUUAGGGUGUCCCCUUUCAAGUUCUCAGAACGGACGCAGGACUGCAGAUCUGUGCUGGCAGCAGCAGAGGUGAGUUGGUCUGUACAGUGACUAUCUGUUAUUACUCUGAGAGAUAUCAAAUGAUGAUAUCACCUAAAAUAGCUGGAAUUACCGGCAGAUUGGUAGUGGUGAGCCUAUGGUUUUCUGAAGAUAUCAUUAAAUGUUCUAAAUGCCAUUGAUCCAGGCAGGAGUGAUUCUGAAAUUCAGCUCUUUUGCAGGCUAUAUUCCCAGAGGAGUCUCCAGCCGGCCUGAAAGCAAAUAUCCUAAGUGACAUGUCUGCCAAUUUUGUUCUGGGUGGGCACAUUUGGUAAUCCUGUCUGUACCACAGGAUCUUCUAUGCCUUUUAAAAAUAAACAUUUGUUUAUAAACCAGA